rnacentral:misc_RNA from 1 species
GAUGAAGAACGUAGCGAAAUGCGAUAAGUAAUGUGAAUUGCAGAAUUCAGUGAAUCAUCGAAUCUUUGAACGCACAUUGCGCCCCCCAGUAUUCUGGCGGGCAUGCCUGUUCGAGCGUCAUUUAAACCAUCAAGCCCUGCUUGUGUUGGGGUCCUGCGGCUGCCCGCAGGCCCUGAAAACCAGUGGCGGGCUCGCUAGUCACACCGAGCGCAGUAGCACAUCUCGCUCAGGGCGUGCGGCGGGCUCCAGCCGUUAAAGCACCCACCUUUCGCAAGGUUGACCUCGGAUCAGGUAGGAAUACCCGCUGAACUUAAGCAUAUCAAUAAGCGGAGGA